CUGGGAGGCCCAGGUUGCAGUGAGCCGAGAUCACGCCACUGCACUCCAGCCUGGGCAACAAAGUGAGAUUCUGUCUCAAAAUAUUUUUUAAAUUUUUAUUUUAUUUUGAGAUGGAGUUUCACUCUUGUUGCCCAGGCUAGAGUGCAAUGGUGCGAUCUCGGCUCACUGCAACCUUUGCCUCCCAG
rnacentral:pre_miRNA from 1 species